rnacentral:rRNA from 1 species
UACGAGAGGCCCAAACGUUAUUCGGAAUUACUGGGCUUAAAGAGUUCGUAGGCGGCAUUGCAAGUCGGGUGUGAAAGCCCUCGGCUCAACCGAGGAAUUGCGCUCUAAACUGCAGUGCUUGAGGAAGCUAGAGGUGAGCAGAACAGAUGGUGGAGCGGUGAAAUGCGUUGAUAUCAUCUGGAAUACCGGAGGCGAAGGCGGCUCACUGGGGCUUUUCUGACGCUGAGGAACGAAAGCCAGGGUAGCGAACGGG